GACGAACGCUGGCGGCGUGCUUAACACAUGCAAGUCGAACGAUGAUGCCCAGCUUGCUGGGCGGAUUAGUGGCGAACGGGUGAGUAACACGUGAGUAACCUGCCCUUGACUUCGGGAUAACUCCGGGAAACCGGGGCUAAUACCGGAUAUGAGCCGUCCUCGCAUGGGGGUGGUUGGAAAGUUUUUCGGUCAGGGAUGGGCUCGCGGCCUAUCAGCUUGUUGGUGGGGUGAUGGCCUACCAAGGCGACGACGGGUAGCCGGCCUGAGAGGGCGACCGGCCACACUGGGACUGAGACACGGCCCAGACUCCUACGGGAGGCAGCAGUGGGGAAUAUUGCACAAUGGGCGAAAGCCUGAUGCAGCGACGCCGCGUGAGGGAUGAAGGCCUUCGGGUUGUAAACCUCUUUCAGCAGGGAAGAAGCGCAAGUGACGGUACCUGCAGAAGAAGCGCCGGCUAACUACGUGCCAGCAGCCGCGGUAAUACGUAGGGCGCAAGCGUUGUCCGGAAUUAUUGGGCGUAAAGAGCUCGUAGGCGGUUUGUCGCGUCUGGUGUGAAAGCUCGAGGCUCAACCUCGAGCUUGCAUCGGGUACGGGCAGACUAGAGUGCGGUAGGGGAGACUGGAAUUCCUGGUGUAGCGGUGGAAUGCGCAGAUAUCAGGAGGAACACCGAUGGCGAAGGCAGGUCUCUGGGCCGCAACUGACGCUGAGGAGCGAAAGCAUGGGGAGCGAACAGG
rnacentral:rRNA from 1 species